CUCAGCAUUCAAUUUUGAAAUUAAAUAUUAUUUUAAAAAAAAAAUAAUCUCACAGAUGUAUUAAAUCAUUGUUCUGAUUUUAUAAAAUACACAGCUUUUUUGAUAAAGCUCUCUACUCUGCAAAAGAAACUGUAUAAAAAAAUCUUUAAAUUAAUAAAAAUUAAAAAAAAAUACAAAGUUAGAUUAAUAUAUCAAAAUAAUAUAAAAAGAUCUGUAAGUUAAAGAAAAUUAUAAGAUGAAGAUAUUCUUAGUCAUCAAUGAUAACAAAAUCUGGCCCCGGUGGCCGAAUGGGUAAUGCGGCCACCUGGUAGCGCCUUGGCGUGGGGACCCAAGGCGCGUGGGUUCGAAACCCGCAGGGGACAACAUUACAUCCGGAGCCAACUUCUCAGCUCCUAAAAUAAUGGGAUGUGAACCUGCCAAGUAGGUACCUUCGGGCGGACCUACUACUUGAUUUAGCUGAUUUUUCCUGGGCUGGGAACCUGUAUUGCAUGUACCAAAUCCUGUCUUUCAUUAAUUUUCCUAUGUUCCUGUUAUAUUCUUGGCGUCGUUCAACACUAAGCAUUCCUCCUGUAUAACCAACUCUUGCCUGUAUUUAACAUCACACAAGGACUCGUCAUAAGCACUGCUUGCAUACGAGUAUAACGGAAGAAUAAUAAUAAUAAUAAUAAUAAUGAUAACAAAA
rnacentral:sRNA from 1 species